UCGAGCGGCGAACGGGUGAGUAACGCGUGGAUAACCUGCCCUGAGGUGGGGGAUAACCAAGGGAAACUUUGGCUAAUACUGCAUGAUACCGAGAGGUCAAAGGGGGCUCGCAAGGGCUCUCGCCAUAGGAGGGGUCCGCGUCCGAUUAGCUAGUUGGUAGGGUAAUGGCCUACCAAGGCGACGAUCGGUAGCCGGCCUGAGAGGGUGAUCGGCCACACUGGAACUGAGACACGGUCCAG
rnacentral:rRNA from 1 species